AGGGCGGAACGGCACAGCACUAAACAGGUUGCCAUGGCAGCGGGAGCAGCGUCAAGCCUCGGCGUGCCUGCGUUGCUGGGAGACCUUGGGGCUCAGGGGACUUGGCCCCUCUGGCUAUUUUGAGCCUCAGGAUGAGCUUUCAAGUAAGGUUUCAUUUGGCACGUGUGUGUCUGCGCUCACUCACACUGCGUGUGCACGUAAAUGGUUCAGCUACCUGCGGUCAUCUCUUGUGCUAGUACAUUCCACUGGCUGUCUGUUUUGAAGAAAAGGCAUACAGACAUGGAUUCUGCAUUCCUGGUUUGCAUCCCUCAGUUCUCCGUGCUCCGCCUUUGGGGAACAUAGAAUGUCGUCUAUCCUGCAUGUUUGAAAAGCAGUUUAAGGUUCAGUCCAUCGUCAUCAUGGCAGGAAGCAUGGCAGCAUCCAGGCAGACAUGGCACUGGAGAAAGGAACUGAGAGUUCUACAUCUUGUUCAGAAGACAAACACAAGACUGGCUUCCAGGCAGCUAGGAGAAAGGUCUCAAAGUCCACCCCCAAAGUGACACACUUCCUCUAAGAAAGUCACAUCUAAUUAUGCCACUCCCUGGGACAAGCAUACUUAAGCCACCACAUAGAGUUUGAGAAAUCAGGUUUGUCAGGCAAGGUCCAUAUCAUCGUCAAAUGUCUCCCAGUACUCCUGCCUUCAGUGACAGGGAGAGAGAUCUCAGCUUUGAGAGAGUUUCAGGGCCACACAGUAAACACAGGGCCACAGGAAAGACAGGCAGUUCCCUGGACUGUUGCCAUGGUCGUGUCCCAUCUCAAGUAGAUUCUCACCGUGUCUCUUACCCACCUUGGGCUCCUUUGAUUGGAAAUGAAGAGGCAUCUGCUUCUCUGUAAGCAGCAAGACAUACGGGCUCCCGAGUCACUCGUCACUUUCCCUGCUGAUAACAUCCCCAAGGGCUGCAGAUCCACAUUUAUGUUCACAUUGUAAAUGAAUGAUGGAUUCAGAGUAAAUGAAGCAUUGAGCUUGUUAAUGAAACAAAACAUUCACACCUGGUAAAAGUGGGCCUUUCAGCUCGGCUCACAGACUGUCUAUUCUUGGGGUUGUAUUUGAGAGAGUUCCUUCAUGUGGUUGAUUCUCUAUUUAGGUAGUAAGUAUGUUGUUUAAGAAAGUGUUGUCAUGUCUACCUCUUAGGACAUGUCCGUCUCCUAAAAACACCCUGCCACGUGGAAAAUGACCCCUUUUCAGUGGGGUGGGAGAUAGCUAAAACCAUGAAGAAACCAACAGCUUCCAUGACUGAAGGACUGUGUUCUUUGAAGAGAGUUUAAGGACUUUUGAAGUUAAUACUAUAUUCAUGUCUGUUAGUUGUGAGAACCUGCCCCAAGGAGUCAGUCUUCAACACGAUUCUUAUGCAGCCAACUCAGGCAGUUGACUUGGAGUUUUUAUUUUCUCUAUCUAAAAUACAUAAUUGCCCAGAAAUAAUUUGGUUGUGCAAUUAUACAUUGACUAGUAAGAAGUUAAAGCCCUGCAUUUGGAAAGUUUGGUAUCUCAUUCAUCGUUUUUAAGUAACAGUGAAACUGAUCAUAUUCAUAUUUAUCGUUCAGUCAUUAACACUAUCCACCUCCAGUACCCCACUAGCAAAGCCCAGCUCCCAUAGCCAUCCAAAGCCCCGCCUCUUCAGCCAUUCAAAGCCCCGCCUCCAAAACCUUUCAAAACCCGGCCUCCGUAGCCCUCCAAAGCCCCGCCUCCAAAGCCAUCCAAAGUCCCGCUUCCAUAGCCAUGCAAAGCCCUGCUUCCAUAGUCCAGCACUAAUUCCCUACAACAAUGGUUGUCUUCUGUCGUUCUAGACAGAUUUGAUGACACAAGGAGCCUCAGGAGAUGCGCACUCAUGGCUGUCUCAUUCUACCUGGAUUAUUUCACUUAUAUGAUGUCAUUAAACUUCAUCCACGUUGCA